CCCUCUGUGUGUGUUCUUUUGGCUUACAGGUCAAACCCUAUUGGGGAUGUGAUUUCCCUGCUCCAGAUUGAAGUGGUUGGCGUUGGGCGCCGCCGUGAUGCUGGAUGGUGCAGGUCAGAGCUCCAGUGCGUGUCCGUGGAGCAGAUCCACCAUGGGUGCAGGGGAAUGGAAAUGCUACUGAGAAGAAGAAGAGAGCUUGGUCUGGCUAUUUGGAAGCAGAGUGAAGAGUGUGCUAUGGUGAAACCUUAGCCAGAACCGAAUGGUCCUUGUCCUGAGCUUGCGGUCUUAAACUUCUAAGAUCUUCAAUGGUCGUUCUUCAUACGUCAGG